AGAGUUUGAUCAUGGCUCAGAACGAACGCUGGCGGCGUGGAUAAGACAUGCAAGUCGGACGGGAUUUUCCGUUGUAGCAAUACGAUGGAAAGUCUAGUGGCGAACGGGUGCUUAACACGUGGGCAACCUGCCAGGAAGUGGGGGAUAGCUCGCCGAAAGGCGAAUUAAUACCGCAUGUGAUUAGAGAGGACAUCCUUUCGAAAUUAAAGUCGGGGCAACCUGACGCUUCUUGUGGGGCCCGCGGCCUAUCAGCUAGUUGGCGAGGUAAUGGCUCACCAAGGCUUUGACGGGUAGCUGGUCUGAGAGGACGACCAGCCACACUGGGACUGAGACACGGCCCAGACACCUACGGGUGGCAGCAGUCGAGAAUUUUUGACAAUGGGGGAAACCCUGAUCGAGCGACGCCGCGUGGAGGAUGAAGGUCUUCGGAUUGUAAACUCCUGUCAUUGGGGAGCAAGGUGCAUACGUUAACUGCGUGUACAUUGAUAGUACCCGAAGAGGAAGAGACGGCUAACUCUGUGCCAGCAGCCGCGGUAAUACAGAGGUCUCAAGCGUUGUUCGGAUUCAUUGGGCGUAAAGGGUGCGUAGGCGGCGCGGUAAGUCGGGUGUGAAAUCUCGGAGCUUAACUCCGAAACUGCAUUCGAGACUGCCGUGCUUGAGGACUGGAGAGGAGACUGGAAUUUACGGUGUAGCGGUGAAAUGCGUAGAUAUCGUAAGGAAGACCAGUGGCGAAGGCGGGUCUCUGGACAGUUCCUGACGCUGAGGCACGAAGGUCAGGGGAGCAAACGGGAUUAGAUACCCUCGUAGUCC
rnacentral:rRNA from 1 species